GAGGAGAUAAGGUAACCUUUUUUUCAUUUAUUUUUCUGUGAUAUCAUGCAUUUUCCCGCAUUUUUGAAAAUAGGGUGCAAGGCUAAGUUUUCAUGACUCCAGCUUCACGUUGGGGCCAGUUUUGUAUCUACAUAAGAAAAGCUACAGUGGUUGGUCAUUAAGAUCCUUAUUUCUUCUUGGGCAUGACGAGUCCAUGUGUUAGUGCAAGUAGCAAUUGUUGUUCAAGCAGG
rnacentral:lncRNA from 1 species